ACAGCAGUAGCCGCGGGAAUACGGAGGGUGCAAGCGUUAAUCGGAAUUACUGGGCGUAAAGCGCACGCAGGCGGUCUGACAAGUCAGAUGUGAAAUCCCCGGGCUUAACCUGGGAACUGCAUUUGAAACUGUCAGGCUGGAGUCUUGUAGAGGGGGGUAGAAUUCCAGGUGUAGCGGUGAAAUGCGUAGAGAUCUGGAGGAAUACCGGUGGCGAAGGCGGCCCCAUGGACAAAGACUGACGCUCAGGUGCGAAAGCGUGGGGAGCAAACAGGAUUAGAUACCCCGGUAGUCCCUGUCUCUUAUAC
rnacentral:rRNA from 1 species